CUGUUGCAGCCUGGUCUGACAGUCCCAGUGCGAGGAACGGCAUCUGUCUUCACUGACACUGAUCGGGGUGGCGGAUUUUGCCUGGGGGCUGCAAUCCUGCACCCUAUAGCAAACUGCGUGUGAGGAGAAGCAAAUUAACCUGUAUAUAAGUGGUAGGAAUGUGACGUGAUGACACCCACCCAGUGAAUGGCAUGACAACUGCUAGAGUACAGGUGUGAUAAAUAAAUAGGCUCUCCAGUCCUGACAUGUGGACAGAUGGUAAAUACUUAGGAGGAUCCCGAGUGUCAGGAUAAAUGGCGAUGGUGAGGGCAUCCUGGUGGGCGUUACCUGAAAGAGAUAUGGAGAGGAGGUUACAGCUGGAACAUUAUCCAUUGCAAUGGCAGACUGGAGCAGCGAGCCGGCCUAGUAGUAGCAUGCAUGCAGAAAGGGGCGUGGUCACAUGGGGGUGUGAUCAAGCAUCAUGGGCAUAUGGCCACAUCUUUCAGGGGGUAUAUCGCGAGUUACGGAGUUGUGGCCUAGCAGCAAGCCCUAUCGCUCUGUAUGGUGGCUGAAGACCUCCACAUUCAGGCAGCUGGAGUGACUUAUCUGGCCAUUGGCUCUUCUGGUGUUUGCCAGAACUUAGCUUCAGAUGGGCAAUCUGUCCCUGAUCCCUUGCAUACCAGACAGUCUAUAUAACACAUAAACAACAUAGGAAAAUACAGGGCGAGGGCUCUCCUCCUCUUUGCAAGCAGCUCAAAUUAUGAUCUAGCAAUAGUAUAUAAUAUGAUUACUAGAGCUUCCGCCAAUACGCUGUAGUCUGAACGCCACCAUUGGUACCUAAUACAGUAUAUGACCUGUUUUUGUCUUUGACUGCUUAUUAAAUUUGUUGGUUUAUGCACUAUGGGGCGCACCCUUUUGUUCUUUUGAAUUUUAGAAAUGUUGUUACCUGAGAAGAUAAGC